AUUAUUCUCUUUACCGGCAAUUAUAAAACGCAUAUGCCAGAGACAGCGUUGAUAGUUCGGCAGCAGCCGCAUCCUCUUCCAGGCAGCACUGUACACGCGUAGCUGAAAGCAGCGACUUAUGUCAUCUCAUUGGCGCCUGUUGGGCAGGGAGCAGGCAGUUUGUCGCCAGACUCAAUGGUGAUCCAUGGGUAUGCCUGUUUGAUGUGUUCUUAUGCAUUCAACGUUUCAGUGCAGUUGGGCUGAUUUGUUUACCUCUUGAAGUUGACUUGAUUAUGAACAACUGAUCAUGAAGCGUUUCCUGAUUAGUGAUAGAAAUGAAGACACCAGUGCUCCUUCAACUAGUGGUGGGCAACAAGCUACUCGGAGUGUCAAAACGAGAAGCAGGACUUAGUUGUUCACAUUGAAAUCAGGAACAGAACAACAAAAAUCCAACUUCCACGAGAUAAGAAGUGCACAGCACAUUCAAGAGGACGAGAAGAAACACAUAAAUACCAAACAACUAAUGGCACUACACGUGAACAGCACCAAAGACAUAUAAAAACAUAACAGCGGACCCUGGAAGAUAAACACCGCCUGCAAUACGCGACAAAUAACACAGAAUUUUUACACUGUAACGAGGAGGGAAUUUUUAAAAAUCUAGAAAUUAUUUUACAAUUUCUGUAAUAAUUAUAUGUAUUAUGAUGAUUAUUAUGAAUAACACUGAUAUGAAUCCAAGUAGGAUAUUUCAAUAACAUGAGACUUAUUUAAUUAAAAUGUCUGGGGAUGG